rnacentral:rRNA from 2 species
GGUUAAGCGACUAAGCGUACACGGUGGAUGCCCUGGCAGUCAGAGGCGAUGAAGGGCGUGCUAAUCUGCGAUAAGCGCCGGUAAGGUGAUAUGAACCGUUAUAACCGGCGAUACCCGAAUGGGGAAACCCAGUGUGAUUCGUCACACUAUCAUUAACUGAAUCCAUAGGUUAAUGAGGCGAACCGGGGGAACUGAAACAUCUAAGUACCCCGAGGAAAAGAAAUCAACCGAGAUUCCCCCAGUAGCGGCGAGCGAACGGGGAGGAGCCCAGAGCCUGAAUCAGCAUGUGUGUUAGUGGAAGCGUCUGGAAAGGCGCGCGAUACAGGGUGACAGCCCCGUACACAAAAGCGCAUGUGCUGUGAGCUCGAUGAGUAGGGCGGGACACGUGGUAUCCUGUCUGAAUAUGGGGGGACCAUCCUCCAAGGCUAAAUACUCCUGACUGACCGAUAGUGAACCAGUACCGUGAGGGAAAGGCGAAAAGAACCCCGGCGAGGGGAGUGAAAAAGAACCUGAAACCGUGUACGUACAAGCAGUGGGAGCCCCACCACUAAGCCAGUGGUGAACUCCACAUACGCAUCCUUUGCUGAAGGCAAUGGUUAACGGAGCGAAAGCGACGUUCAACCGCAAAACAAGCAGAGGGGGCUUAGUGGUGGGGUGACUGCGUACCUUUUGUAUAAUGGGUCAGCGACUUAUAUUCUGUAGCAAGGUUAACCG